AUGGACUCAUCCUGUUUUCUCCCCCUUUUACCCCAUCCCUCAUCUGCUGCUUGGCCCUGGGGGACCCUGGUGGGUUGGGGAGGGGGGGGUUGUUUUAUGGACUGUCUUUGGGGGGGGUGUCUCUGUUCCAUGUCAGUGUUAUUAAAAAGCUUAUUUAUUAUCAGAAAUAUAACACCUACCUACGUGCAGCCCUGCCUGGCCUGUGUUUUGGGGGGGAUCCUGGUUUUGGGAGGGUGGUGGGAGUUUUGGGGUGUGUUGUUGUCACUGGUGAUGGUGACACUGACGCGAGGCUGUGCUGUCACCCCUGGGCGCUGGUGCAGAAGGGAAAAUCUGGGGUGGGGUGUCUUUGGGGGGUGCCAGAAGGGUCCCCCCACCUUGUCUGCUGCCCCUGACUCUGCCUGGGACCCCGCAUCUUGUGAGUGGGGGUCUGGGGCUCCUGCAGGGACACUGACCUGGGGGUCCCUGCCAGUCUGGGGUGCACAGAGCUGUGGGGACCCUGACCCGGGGGGUCCCCGUGGGAUUCGGGGUGCGCAGGGACAUGGGGUCUCUGACUCGGGAGGGUCCCUCCAGGACUUGGGAUGCUCUAGACGGCGGGGACACGGUCCCGGGGGCCUCAUUUGGGCACGCAGGAGGUCCCUGCGGGAUGUGGGGGGCUCGGGGACGCGGGGACACCGUCGCGGGGGACUCUUUGCAGUGGGGAGGGGGGAGCUGUGGGGUUUGGGGUGCACAUCAUGGGACUCAUCCAUGGACUCAUCCUGUUUUCUCCCCCUUUUACCCCAUCCCUCAUCUGCUGCUUGGCCCUGGGGGACCCUGGUGGGUUGGGGAGGGGGGGGUUGUUUUAUGGACUGUCUUUGGGGGGGGUGUCUCUGUUCCAUGUCAGUGUUAUUAAAAAGCUUAUUUAUUAUCAGAAAUAUAACACCUACCUACGUGCAGCCCUGCCUGGCCUGUGUUUUGGGGGGGAUCCUGGUUUUGGGAGGGUGGUGGGAGUUUUGGGGUGUGUUGUUGUCACUGGUGAUGGUGACACUGACGCGAGGCUGUGCUGUCACCCCUGGGCGCUGGUGCAGAAGGGAAAAUCUGGGGUGGGGUGUCUUUGGGGGGUGCCAGAAGGGUCCCCCCACCUUGUCUGCUGCCCCUGACUCUGCCUGGGACCCCGCAUCUUGUGAGUGGGGGUCUGGGGCUCCUGCAGGGACACUGACCUGGGGGUCCCUGCCAGUCUGGGGUGCACAGAGCUGUGGGGACCCUGACCCGGGGGGUCCCCGUGGGAUUCGGGGUGCGCAGGGACAUGGGGGGCGCUGA
rnacentral:lncRNA from 1 species